ensembl:lincRNA
GGAUGAGCAGCCUCGAUCUUAGGAGACGUUGAGGAAAAGCCUCCUCCUGCCCUGAUUCUCAGCUUCAGAUGGAGUUGGGGUGUGGAAACUGGCACUGCCUUGGGCCCUGGCUCCUGCUUGGCCUGUCUCUGCCAGGAAGGGCAGGCUUUGCUGGCCUAGCUUCCCAGAGCUGGGCUGGGGUCCAGGCCAGGCCUCAGGCAGGCCCUGAGGCUAAGUCUACAUUGUCCAGGCCCCAGUACACACAGGGUGGGUCCCCUUCCCACCCUCUUCUCCAGAGCCUGGAUUCUACCCAGCCCUGGCCCGGGACCCAGGCCUGCUCCCUUCCAGCCAGCUCAUUUCCCGGCACCGCCUGACCCGGGACCAGCUGUGACGGCUGAAGGAGCAGCUGGGCAGCAUCAAGGAGGUGGAAACCAAGCGUCUGCCUGGCCCAGGCGGCUGGCUUGUUGGGAGGAGCAAGGCACGCAGGACCAGAAGCCAUCGGAAGAGUUUCUGAAUUACCUCUUGGCUGGGGGCCACAGGCCAGAACGGCCCCAGCUGCCCCGGCUGGCCGAGGCCCUGCAGAGCCUUCCUCCUGGCUCCAGGCCUUCUCGCCCCGCCCUCUCCUCCUCUGCUGCCUCCUCUGCUCUCCUCCCUUCUCAUCUCACACCCACAGCAACCUCCAAUGGACGCUCCAGCCCGGGGAGCACAGACUUGCUGCCACUCACACGCGAAAUACACGUUCCACCUGGCAAAGUCAAAGUCAAGAGGAGGCCUCAGCAGACUUCAUCUUCAUCAGGAGAGUUGGGGAAGGUGCAGGCUGGGCUACGUCGUGGAGAAAACACCCUCCAAGCCCAGUCCCACUUUCCCAGACAGAGGUCCCCGUCCCGUGUGGCCGGGUGGCAGGGAGCGUGUCAAGAGGGCGGCUCUUUCCAGAAGAAACUUGCAUCGGCAGCAGCUUCCAGUUUUGUGGAAUGGAGCAAUUUGGUCCUCAGCCUCAUGGCGCACCCCAGAUGUCUGCUUUCACAGCUCUGGUGGAUGCCUGGCUUCCAGGCCAACCCUCUGUGCGCCCAAACACCCGAAGGCGUUCACCCCAGACAUGUUUACACCCCGACACUGCCAGGCUGCUGGGUGGAGCUGGAGAAACCCGUAGCCGGGCGGGACCCAUGUGCUCCGAUCCCAUCCUCUGAUUGUCCCCAUCACACUCGUCUUGGGACCCCGCUCUGGUCCGGCUACAGCGCUAGGUAUGGACGAGGGAGUCUGAGACCCGGGGUGGUCAGGGGGCUCAUAGUCCAGUAGUGGGGAUGAUGUGUCACCAGAUGCGGGGCCACAGUGUCAUGCGUGGGUACAUGGAGAGCGGGAAAAGGAGGAGGCCAGGGUUUCUUAGAUGUUUCUGGCUGUAAAUAGCCGAGAUGCUAACUCAAGUCACCUAGUAUAGGAUGUUUACUGGCUCCCGUCCUGGGGAGGGCGUGGAGUGGGGUUGCCUAGCAACACAAUGGUGUCCUCGAAGCAUUUGACUGGUUGUAUCUGUUCUGCCACCCUCACAUCUGUCUCCGUCUGUCUCUUGUCUCUGGGACACAAUACCCCACACCCACAGUUUAAAGGAAGAGAGGUUUAUUUCGGUUCACGUUUCAGUGCCUGGUUGUAUGGCUCCGAGGCAGAAACAGCAAGGCGGAAGGGUGUGGCCGCCGCCACUGUCUCCUGGAGGUCGGGAAGCGGAGAGGAGGGAGGAUCACAGGAAGUGAGACGCAUCCUACCAGGUCACCUGCCAGUGACCAGAGCCAGCGCACUCGGCCUCUCCCUUGGGCCCCUCUGCUGGUUCUGCCUCUCCUUCAAGACCUCUUGUCCCUGGAGUCCCCCAGCCUCAGGUCAUCGGCCCCUUUUCUUCUCUGUCCACACGCAGACCCUUGGGGGCCUCACGUGGUCUCCUGCUCCUCCGCACACCACGUGCCCAUAUUCCCUGGCACACAUCCCAGUCCAGCCCCUCCACCAAAGCCCUUGGGCGGAGUUCCAGGGCCCACGCGCCCUCUCUAAUAGACGUCCCAGAUGAGUUCCUGGGUUUCUCUCUCUGCUCUCCAGCACCCCUGUCUGCGGCACCAGAACCUGCCCAUCUCAGUUGGUGGGGACUUUAUCCUCCCAGGGCUCAGGUUUGGCUUUGGGGGCAUCUGGGCUGUUGUUUUUCUCCUGCAUCCACCAUCCAAGACCUGUGAAGAAACCUGGUUGCCUCCCUCUUUACUGUCUGUCUGGGCAGAGCUCAUAUUCCUCCCGCCUCUAUCCUUCCAUUUCUACCUCCUGCCUGGAUGGUUGCAAUCACCUCCCAAAGGAUUUUCCCUGUGUCACCUUGAAUCCCUAAGGGCUGAGUAUUUGUUGAAGACACCUGCAGGCCCCUCUCACUCAUACCCAUUUAACAAUGGCCCUCAAGGCCCCACCCUAUCUGGCUGGCCCGCUCUGACUCACCUCCUCCAUGCCUGGCUGCCUUACUGUCCUUGGAUGUUCCCGCCUCAGCCUCUCCUCAGCUGUUUCCUCUUCCAGGUAGCCCUGUGAUUCCCAAAUAUCUCCCCAAGUUUGCUCAAAUAUUGCUUCUCCCGUUUCAUUGUAUCCUUCCCCACCCUCACCCAUGGUUCUUGAACCCCCUUUUUCUGUACAACAUAUCUAGCACAGUGUAUGAUUUGCUUGUUUAUUGUAUGCAGUCUUUGUUGUCAGUUUUCUCUUGUUGGAUCAUAAACAUGUCAAUUGGGGAUAGAGA